rnacentral:rRNA from 1 species
CGCAUCUGUGCAUGCAGCAUAUCAAUAAGCGGAGGAAAAGAAACUAACAAGGAUUCCCUUAGUAACGGCGAGUGAAGCGGGAAGAGCUCAAAUUUGAAAUCUUCUAGGUUUUACCUUGACGAAUUGUAGUUUAAAGAAGUGUUUUCUGCUGAAGUUUUGGUAAAAGUUCUUUGGAAUAGGACAUCAUAGAGGGUGAGAAUCCCGUAUUUGACCAUUAUUUUCAGCUUUGUGAUACACUUUCAAAGAGUCGGAUUGUUUGGGAAUGCAGUCCAAAAUGGGUGGUAAAUUUCAUCUAAAGCUAAAUAUUGGCGAGAGACCGAUAGCGAGCAAGUACCGUGAGGGAAAGAUGAAAAGAACUUUGAAAAGAGAGUUAAACAGUACGUGAAAUUGUCAAAAGGGAAGCGUUUGACACCAGUGUUGUUUUCUCGAAAAUCAAUUAAAAAUGGCUCGAUUUUGUAUUGCUGAGACCUUAAAAGCUCACUGUACAUUUUUCGUGUCUUUUUUAAUGCACUUUUCGUUUAACAAGUCAACAUCAGUUUCUUUUGUUGUAAAAGGGUCAUUGGAAGGUGGCUUUCUUUUCGGAGAAAGUGUUUAUAGCCUUUGGCCUCUGCAAUCGGAAGAGACUGAGGUCUGCAGCGUAGACUCUUCGGGGUUAGAUACAUUUGUGCUAAGUUAUAGCUUUUUAUAGACAACUUGUUGACUAUAAUUAGUCUUGUAGCUUACUCGCUUAUGCUAUUUUACCUACGCUUAGGAUGUUGAUACCUACGCUUAGGAUGUUGACGAGACUGUCGAUCUCAUCUACAUGACUCUGUGCAUAUCAAUAAGCGGAGGAAAAGUCGAUACCUACGCUUAGGAUGUUGACGCAUGAGAUAUACGC